rnacentral:rRNA from 1 species
ACCGGCAGCUAACUCUCUGCAACUCUCACAUGGUCGCCCACUGAAGCUAAGCAGGGCUGUGCCCGGUCAGUACCUGGAUGGGAGACCACAUGGGAAAGCUAGGUUGCUGCCGGAA